UACGUAGGGGCCUAGCGUUGUCCGGAUUUAUUGGGCGUAAAGAGCUCGUAGGCGGUUUGGUUAGUCAGGUGUGAAAUCUCCACGCUCAACGUGGAGGGGCCACCUGAUACUGCCAUGACUUGAGUGCGAGAGAGGAGCGUGGAAUUCCGGGUGUAGUGGUGAAAUGCGUAGAGAUCCGGAGGAACCCCAGAGGCGAAGGCGGCGCUCUGGCUCGCAACUGACGCUCAGACACGACAGCAUGGGGAGCGAACGGG
rnacentral:rRNA from 1 species